AUGCAGUCGACGCGAAAGUUCCCUUCGGGGAGCGAGUAGAGUGGCGCACGGGUGAGUAACACGUAGGUAAUCUACCUUUGGAUUGGGAAUAACAACCGGAAACGGUUGCUAAUACCGAAUAAUGCAGCGGCACCUAAUGGUGACAGUUGUUAAAGCGGGGGAUCGCAAGACCUCGCGUCUGAAGAGGAGCCUGCGGCGGAUUAGCUAGUUGGUAAGGUAAUGGCUUACCAAGGCUAUGAUCCGUAGCCGGCCUGAGAGGGCGGUCGGCCACACUGACACUGACAUACGGGUCAGACUCCUACGGGAGGCAGCAGUCGGGAAUUUUGGGCAAUGGGCGAAAGCCUGACCCAGCAACGCCGCGUGAAGGAUGAAAUCCUUCGGGAUGUAAACUUCGCAAGAACGGGAAGAAUAAGUAAGAGUUAAUAUCUCUUACGAUGACGGUACUGUUUGUAAGCUCCGGCUAACUCCGUGCCAGCAGCCGCGGUAAUACGGGGGGAGCAAGCGUUGUUCGGAUUUACUGGGCGUAAAGGGCGCGUAGGCGGCCACCGCAAGUCGAUUGUGAAAUCUCCGGGCUUAACCCGGAAAGGUCAACCGAUACUGCGGGGCUAGAGUGCAGAAGGGGCAACUGGAAUUCUCGGUGUAGCGGUGAAAUGCGUAGAUAUCGAGAGGAACACCUGCGGCGAAGGCGGGUUGCUGGGCUGACACUGACGCUGAUGUGCGAAAGCUAGGGGAGCGAACGGGAUUAGAUACCCCGGUAGUCCUAGCCUUAAACGAUGAAUGCUUGGUGUCUGGGGUUUUAUAGUCCCCGGGUGCCGUCGCUAACGCUUUAAGCAUUCCGCCUGGGGAGUAC
rnacentral:rRNA from 1 species